rnacentral:rRNA from 1 species
CCUACGGGAGGCUGCAGUGAGGAAUAUUGGUCAAUGGACGAGAGUCUGAACCAGCCAAGUAGCGUGAAGGAUGACUGCCCUAUGGGUUGUAAACUUCUUUUAUAUGGGAAUAACAUGUUCCACGUGUGGGAUUUUGUAUGUACCAUAUGAAUAAGGAUCGGCUAACUCCGUGCCAGCAGCCGCGGUAAUACGGAGGAUCCGAGCGUUAUCCGGAUUUAUUGGGUUUAAAGGGGGCGUAGGUGGAUUGUUAAGUCAGUUGUGAAAGUUUGCGGCUCAACCGUAAAAUUGCAGUUGAAACUGGCAGUCUUGAGUACAGUAGAGGUGGGCGGAAUUCGUGGUGUAGCGGUGAAAUGCUUAGAUAUCACGAAGAACUCCGAUUGCGAAGGCAGUUCACUGGACUGCAACUGACACUGAGGCUCGAAAGUGUGGGUAUCAAACAGGAUUAGAUACCCUUGUAGUC